UUUAUUUUGUUAUUACACCAGACACAUGAGAAGCCUCGUUGGCGGAGAGGAAAUCUAUGUGUACAGCCGUGAAGUUCUUGCGUUGAACAUGGUGGUCGUAGUGAUGGGAAGUACAAAUAAUAAUAAAAGAGUGAGUGGGAUCCAAGGAGUCGUGAGAGAGUGGCGAAGGAAACGCUUUUUAGAGGUUAUGAUAAGUUUGAGAUGAGUAAGGGAAUAUGAAAGGUUGAAAUGAGGUGUUGAACGGUGGUUUUUGAUGGGUUUGGGAAUUUUAGUUUGCAGAUUUUGAAUCGAAAUGUGUUAGUUAUGUUCUUCCAUGCUUUCUUGGCUGUUUUAAGCUUAUUCCUUUUUAACUACAAAUCAGACAUAAUAAAAGAAUUGUAUGAGAAAAUUUUCAUUUGAAAAUUGGAUGAUGCGGGUAAAUUUUUAUAGUGGUUUCUGAUAUUCACGUAAUUAUUUAAUUUGGUCUUCCAAGUUUUAAUUUUUUAACAGUGGUCCUCCACAUUCAGUUUUAGACACUAUAGAUUAUUUUGGAUGCUAACUCAGUUGACGGAAUGUUAAUGUGACUGCUGGAGGUAACUAAUCGCUAGAUGAUGUGGCAAGAUUGUAAUGGCAACAUUCAUGAAUUUGAAAAAAUUAUAGGACAACCACUUUACACAUAUAUUUCAUUGCUGGAAAAUGUGAGGGUUUUCAUUUCAUUCGGUUCCCGAAAGGUUGAAAGUUGAAACUCUUCGGCGCGCUUUGUUCACCUUUAAUCAUGAUGUUGUUGUAAUUUAGUGGCGAAUUAAGAUGCUGACUGGAAGAGAAAGCUUGGUUCGUUUGAUCGGAAAACGGCGUCGCUUCCUUCCAAUCGCCAUUCCAUUCUCUCCCUAACCCUUCCUCCUAACCAGGCAUACCAUCCUAUAACUUCACUUUUCCAUUUCUUUAUCUUUCUAAUAUCAACUAUUAAUGCCCACCAACUGUUUGAACUUUGAACUCCCAAGACAAGUAGCAUCUCACAAUUUAACAUGUCCUUAAAUUCAGUUUGCCUCUGCAUUUUUAACUUUAUGGUGAAUGAUGAAUUGAUUAUUUGGUCUGAUAAUAGCAGUUCUGGAAUUCAGUUGGGGAAGGAUAAUGACUUGAAACGAUUUAAGUCUUUAGGGGAUAAUGAGAAUGAGAAUGCACUGUCUUCGAGAUUGUCCCGUUUGUGGGUCUAAGAUCCCUGGAAAUAACCGUGAAAUAGAAUAACCACAUAGUACUCCAUCAUAGGGACUACUAUGGUGUCUGGAACUGAAUGUGGAGGAUCACUAUGAGAAAAUUAGAACCUCAAAGACUAAAUUGAGUAGUUGCGUGAAUCUUAAAGACCACUAUUGGGAUUUACUCUAAGAGGAAAAUAUUAGACUUGAAAAAAUUUGUGCAAUUAUAAUCAACAAAACUUCUUUAAAAUAAGGGAAAGUAUGAGGAUCCAAUAAAAUAUUUGUACAAUAUGUACAAUGGAGGUUUAGGGAGUAUUAGAGAUAUAAUCAUUAGUGUUACAUUUUCCCAUCAGCUGAAGCUUUUGGAAUGAGUGGUAUCAUGACAUGGUAUUAGAACUCUAAAUUCGAAAGGUCAAGAGUUUGAUCCUUGGUAAACCCCAAAAUCGGUUUAAGCUUUUGGGAAGAUGUUUAUUAUCCCUAGUACUCAGAUGGUUAUUCUAGAUAGUAUGGGAAAUGUUCAUUUAUUAUCCUAGUACUCAGAUGGUUAUUCUAGAUAGUAUAAGGGAUGUUCAUUUAGUAACUCAAUAACUCAUUACAAAUAGUCCAUUGGAUCCCGUUAAGCUCAAUUUUAGUCCGAUAUUAAUCUCGUCCUUUUCUUUAUGCAGGCAAAAUUGGAACAUCCUCGUCAUUAAUAACAUAUCAAUUUGUUUAGGUUUAACACUUUUUAGAGUCUUGCUGUUUUUGGUGAGAAAUCUAUAACUUUGUUCAUUUUAGGAGUAGUUAUGUAUUCUACUCAAGUGCAUAUAACAAAAAAUUUUAAUAGAACGAAUUAACAGAAGUUUAACUUUAACAAAUAUAUAUAAUCAAAUUAUUUUUAGUCAAAGGUAGUCAAAACAUCAAUGAAGCAAGAAGCUUGACUGACCAUCUAUAGAAAUGUAACUGAGCUUGUAACAUUAUCCGUCAUUCAUGCAUUUCUUGCUUCUCUAGACAUGUUAAAGGAGUUAAAGUUACACAUGUAGAGAUGUACAAUACCAAAAUUAAGAGCUGUCUCAUGUGAUGGCUCAAAAAGAAAGAAAAAAAAAAAAAAA